UACCGAGUUACCCGGAUGCAAUACCGUGUUCAGUUACUGAAUCAGAAGGGAAAGAAAAAUGUGAGCCUUCAUUUAAUGUCAGCACAUGGGAGUCCUGGGACCAAGUCUGCUCUGUUGCCGCUCGCCAAGAUAGAGCUGGGACUCCAGAACUGGAUGUGAGACGUUAAGAGCCAAGAAAAGACUGCCAAAAUCAGUACCUCAUUUACUGGGUAAAAAACCAGGAAGGUUUUCCCUUGGUCAUCCAAAGAGAGCCACCAUCCCCUGGGAUCGGAAAAUAUCUGCUACAAUUUAGCUCCAAGGAGUAUUACCCGACACUAAGAAUCCUGUAACCGUGGCCGGAGACCAAGGCUCUGACAAUAGCAUUACUCCUCCGACGCCACCCGAUCAGAUCCAGCCCGAACGAUGCCACGCGUUUUUAAGAUUCGGUCCCAAUCUACCACAGGAGCAACGAGUAACAUCGCUGAAGCAUCCGGGCAGCGCUCCGCACAGUGAGCGCUCAAUAAA